GAUGAACGCUAGCUACAGGCUUAACACAUGCAAGUCGAGGGGAAACGACGUCGAAAGCUUGCUUUCGAUGGGCGUCGACCGGCGCACGGGUGAGUAACGCGUAUCCAACCUGCCCACCACUUGGGGAUAACCUUGCGAAAGUAAGACUAAUACCCAAUGAUAUCUCUAGAAGACAUCUGAAAGAGAUUAAAGAUUUAUCGGUGAUGGAUGGGGAUGCGUCUGAUUAGCUUGUUGGCGGGGUAACGGCCCACCAAGGCUACGAUCAGUAGGGGUUCUGAGAGGAAGGUCCCCCACAUUGGAACUGAGACACGGUCCAAACUCCUACGGGAGGCAGCAGUGAGGAAUAUUGGUCAAUGGACGAGAGUCUGAACCAGCCAAGUAGCGUGCAGGAUGACGGCCCUAUGGGUUGUAAACUGCUUUUAUAAGGGAAUAAAGUGAGUCUCGUGAGACUUUUUGCAUGUACCUUAUGAAUAAGGACCGGCUAAUUCCGUGCCAGCAGCCGCCGUAA
rnacentral:rRNA from 1 species